GAUGAACGCUGGCGGCGUGCCUAAUACAUGCAAGUCGAGCGAACGGACGAGAAGCUUGCUUCUCUGAUGUUAGCGGCGGACGGGUGAGUAACACGUGGAUAACCUACCUAUAAGACUGGGAUAACUUCGGGAAACCGGAGCUAAUACCGGAUAAUAUUUUGAACCGCAUGGUUCAAAAGUGAAAGACGGUCUUGCUGUCACUUAUAGAUGGAUCCGCGCUGCAUUAGCUAGUUGGUAAGGUAACGGCUUACCAAGGCAACGAUGCAUAGCCGACCUGAGAGGGUGAUCGGCCACACUGGAACUGAGACACGGUCCAGACUCCUACGGGAGGCAGCAGUAGGGAAUCUUCCGCAAUGGGCGAAAGCCUGACGGAGCAACGCCGCGUGAGUGAUGAAGGUCUUCGGAUCGUAAAACUCUGUUAUUAGGGAAGAACAUAUGCGUAAGUAGCUGUGCACAUCUUGACGGUACCUAAUCAGAAAGCCACGGCUAACUACGUG
rnacentral:rRNA from 1 species